rfam:Anaerolineae bacterium CG2_30_58_95 cg2_3.0_scaffold_45702_c, whole genome shotgun sequence.
CAGGCUGGCCAGACGGUCGCGGUUCCGCGCGUAAGCGAGGGAUCGAGGAAAGUCCGCACUCCAUAGGGCACGGCGUCGGGUAACACCCGGGGCGGGGAAGUCCCCUUGUGGGACAACCUGCCGGAACAGGGCCACAGAAACAGACUGCCCGCAAGGGCGAGGGUGAAAAGGCGGUGUAAGAGACCACCGGCGUCCGCAGUAAUGCGGGCGGCCAGGCAACCCCCGCCGGGAGCAAGGCCAAGCAGGGACAAAGUCGCCUUCGGGCGGCGGGAGGCGGCUCGUCUCCCUCGAGUCCCGGGUAGGCCGCUAGAGCGGCGCGGCGACGCGUCGCCCAGAGAGAUGACCGUCCAGGCAGGCGGGCCGGGAUGAAACCCAUGCCCUGAGCUUCGGCGAAGGGUCGGGCGUAAACCGGAAUCCAAUUGCUGGACAGAAUGCGGCUUAUAGGCCAGCCUGAGGU